rnacentral:rRNA from 1 species
CCUACGGGAGGCUGCAGUGGGGAAUAUUGCACAAUGGGGGGAACCCUGAUGCAGCAACGCCGCGUGGGUGAAGAAGUACUUCGGUAUGUAAAGCCCUGUCAGCAGGGAAGAAAAUGACGGUACCUGUCCAAGAAGCCCCGGCUAACUACGUGCCAGCAGCCGCGGUAAUACGUAGGGGGCAAGCGUUAUCCGGAUUUACUGGGUGUAAGGGGAGCGUAGACGGCAAGGCAAGUCUGGAGUGAAAGCCCGUGGCUCAACCACGGGACUGCUUUGGAAACUGUGUUGCUGGAGUGCAGGAGGGGUAAGCGGAAUUCCUAGUGUAGCGGUGAAAUGCGUAGAUAUUAGGAGGAACACCGGUGGCGAAGGCGGCUUACUGGACUGUAACUGACGUUGAGGCUCGAAGGCGUGGGGAGCAAACAGGAUUAGAUACCCUAGUAGUC